GAAUGGUUAGGAAUUAAAAGCCAACACCACUGGGUUAAAGUUAAUAUUGGACUGCGUCAGCCAAGCAACGAAGAAAUCCCACGGCAACCUCAAGUGUUGUUUUUGUCAACACACCCGUGGCAGUACUGAAAAUAGAAACCUGGUCGAGGGACAACAAAGGGAUUUCACAGGUUCAUAGCAUGUGUGUAGCUUAAUGAACCGUGAUUACGAUGAAGCCUUUAUCUUUCAAGAUCACCUCUGACUUCUUUCUGCUGUGCGUUUUCCUGAGUCUGCUUUGGCUCCCCGUAGUGCAGGAGGUUUCAGAACGGUUACACAAAAUGACACCAGUAUAACUCUGCGGUGGGAUAAAGUGGACGCCAUCCUCAACUACGCACUUGAGUUCAAUGGAAAGGAGAUUCAUGUCACUGCAUCAGCUGAUUCUGAAGUGCAACACACAAUCUCAGGACUCACAAGUGGAACUAAAUACAACUUCCAGCUCUUCACUGUGUUUGAAGGUGUCAGAAGCACUGGAGUAGACCUCACUGCAGUCACAGCUCCCCGUAUUGCAGGAGGUUUCAGAACAGUUACACAAAAUGAGACCAGUAUAACUCUGCGGUGGGAUAAAGUGGACGCCAUCCUCAACUACGCACUUGAGUUCAAUGGAAAGGAGAUUCAUGUCACUGCAUCAGCUGAUCCUGAAGUGCAAUACACAAUCUCAGGACUCACAAGUGGAACUAAAUACAACUUCCAGCUCUUCACUGUGUUUGCAGGUGUCAGAAGCACUGGAGUAGAACUCACUGCAGUCACAGGUGAGAUGUUAGAACUCUUAUACAGGCAAUUAUAAUAUGUCAUAUAAAGUGUAUAAAUACAACUUGUUAUUUCUAUUUGAGAAGAAGAACUACACCAAAUACAAGAUUUGAUACAGGAUAUCCUGUCAAGAUGUUUUCUGUCUGUAAAAGUGUGGACUUCAAUGUUUCUCUGCGCCUGGGGUGUGGCUAAUGUAUUUGACUGUUGCCGAUAAAAUGCAGGAGGAAAAAACCUACA